GACGUAGGGCGCGAGCGUUGUCCGGAUUUAUUGGGCGUAAAGAGCUCGUAGGCGGCUUGUCGCGUCGAAUGUGAAAACCUAAGGCUCAACCUUGGGCUUGCAGUGGGUACGGGCAGACUAGAGUGCGGUAGGGGUGACUGGAAUUCCUGGUGUAGCGGUGGAAUGCGCAGAUAUCAGGAGGAACACCGAUGGCGAAGGCAGGUCACUGGGCCGCAACUGACGCUGAGGAGCGAAAGCAUGGGGAGCGAACAGG
rnacentral:rRNA from 1 species